rnacentral:tRNA from 1 species
GGGGGGCCGAGUGCGACCACACGACCUCUUACCGGCACCUGUGCACGGGCUUCCACACCAUUAACGCGCUCGAAACCGUUGACGGGCUUAGGUUCGUCCGAGGGUUCGAAUCCCUCCCCCUCCG